rnacentral:rRNA from 1 species
UACGUAGGGGGCAAGCGUUGUCCGGAAUUAUUGGGCCUAAAGCAUCCGUAGCCGGUUCUACAAGUCUUCCGUUAAAUCCAACUGCUUAACAGGUGGGCUGCGGAAGAUACUAUAGAGCUAGGAGGCGGGAGAGGCAAGCGGUACUCGAUGGGUAGGGGUAAAAUCCGUUGAUCCAUUGAAGACCACCAGUGGCGAAGGCGGCUUGCCAGAACGCGCUCGACGGUGAGGGAUGAAAGCUGGGGGAGCAAACCGG